CUGGCUCUGUAGAUCAGGCUGGACUUGAACUCACAGAGAGCCACCCAUCUCUGCCUACUGAGUGCUGGGGUUAAAGAUUGCAGCUGACCUAUACACAUCUGGUGAAGCUGCCACGGGUGCUGUGACUAGAUCUGAGGACUGGCUGAGACACCAGCGGGUGCUUCUGGAUCAGACGGCUCACACAGAUGAUGUGCAAGCAAUUGAGGGACAGCAUGUUAUCUUAUGUCAUUUUUGUGACAGAAGUUGCCCAGUGACUCUAGAAGUUUCUUUUUAUCACAUUAAAAAAGGAAGAAGCAAACGCAUGCAUUACAUCACUACACAUGUGUGGAGGUUAGAGGACAACUUUUAAUAGUUGUCCUCCACUGUGGGAAUUGAAUUCAGGUCAUCAGGCUUAUGUGUCACAUAUUCUUACCCACUGGGCCAUCCUUGGAUCUUCUAAUUUAAAACAUUUUGAAGGUUUAUUUUAUGUACUUUUUUGCAUACAUGUAUGUGCACCACAUGUAUGCCUGGUGCCCAUAGAAGUCAGAAGAGGGCAUUGGAUCCCCUGGAACUGGAGUUACAGAUGGUUGUAAGCCACCAUGUGGGUGCUGGGAACUGAACCCAGGUCCUCUGUAAGAGUCACAAAUGCCUUUAACUGCUGAACCAUCUCCCUAGCUCCUAUAUUCUUUUAUAAUUUUUGAUUAAGUUCCAUUCCAGACCAACAGUCAUUUAUUGAGUACCUACUAUGUGGCAAGUCCUGCUGGGUAAAGUUCAGAAUCUCUCUGCCUCCUGAGUUUUCUUUACUAAUGGCACCAUCAUAUGCAUAGAAACCUGAGCUUUCUGUUGGCUAAAUGAUUCUGUCAUCCCCUCCCACAAGGAAACAGUUAUGGAUUGGACCUCAACAGAAUGGCUCCCUUUUAAAGCUAGUAUCUGUGGCCUUUUGAGGCCUUCUUUCACCUGACCAGGGUUAACUGCUGGUCUGACCACACCAGACUCCUGACUCACACACUCAGUGUCUCUCAUCACCUUCACAAUAAAGCUAAAGUUUUUCACCCUUUUCCUGAAGUC
rnacentral:lncRNA from 1 species